AAAAGUCGUAACAAGGUCUCCGUUGGUGAACCAGCGGAGGGAUCAUUACCGAGUUUACAACUCCCAAACCCAAUGUGAACAUACCUCCAGUUGCUUCGGCGGGAACGCCCCGGCCCAGCCCGGAACCAGGCGCCCGCCGGAGGUACCCAAACUCUUGUCUUCAGUAUCUUACUCUGAGUGGCAAACGCAAAAUAAAUCAAAACUUUCAACAACGGAUCUCUUGGCUCUGGC
rnacentral:misc_RNA from 1 species